GCCUGCCCCUGGGUGAGCCUCUGGUCCUACAGCCUUGUGUUCCCCAGGCCUGUUUUUCUGCUCUGCUGUUUCCUCCUUUGUCUCACCAACCAUGAGGUCAUCUGCUUUCCAAAACUGGACCUGGGUCUUCUCAACCCCACUCACCAUACUCUUAUCUCUUUUAUCUGCAGAACCAAGCAGGAGCAAGGCUUCGGAACAUGUGUGCACAGCCCUCCAAGCCAAGCUGUGUGGAUCAUGUCAAGCAACAUCCCGGUGCAGGAUUUAAGGCGUUCUCAUUUGGAGGAGUUUCUCUGCAAUGGAUCUCGCCUUCUCUGGUCAAGUCUGGAUGUCCAUGUCUAAAGAAACACGGCCAGAGCCCUUUUGGAGACCAGGUUCAUUCCCAUGAGCAAACUCUCCAUUCCCUUUCAGAGGAGAGCAGAUCCAAACACACUGUUUCGCCCAUACAGGCAAGUUUCCGUAGCACACAUUGCAUAUGUCUUUCCUCAUCCAUCCUGAGGAGUGUUUGACUAUGGCCAUUGACUUAUGAGGAGGAGAGGCUUAAACAGGUAUGAUUUUUUUAUGGUAGGCUCUUCAUCCAGAUCAGCCCUGUCCAAACUCAUGAAGAUUCCCUAAGUCAGUAAGUAGCUCUCAACCUUCCUAAGGCUGUGACACCUUAACACAGAUCCAUGCUGUGGUGAGCCCCCCAACCAGAAAAUUGCUUCGUUGUUGCUUCAUAGCUGAAGUUUUUCUACUAUGACGCACCCUAAUAUAAACAUCUGCAUAUUCCGAUGGUCUUAGGGGACCCCCGUGAAACAGCUGUUCAGUCCCUCCAAAGGGAGAUUGAUCCACAGGUUGAGAACCGUUGCCCUGAGCGGCCUGGCCUGGAAUCCCCAGCUCAUUCGCCAAAGCGCAGCCCAAACGCUGCACGCUCUGCAACCAAUUCCACCCACCCAGACUCAUUCCAGAUGGUUGUGUCACAUCCCUUCUGCUGGGGAUGCACAGCAACCUACAUCAUGAGGAGCCUUCCCUCCCUCCCUCUUCCCUCCACGUUCACAUCCUCCAAGGGAAGCCGCUGAAACCGCACUGUCUUCUCACAUCAGUGCACCCGGUAUAGAGUUCAACAGCGGCUUGUGAUCAACAGACUGUGCCAAGGGGCUUGCCAGUCAUUCAGCAAGUGUAUUUGCUGCCCAGGGUAAAGUUAGGUCCGCGUGGAAGAGAGGGUCCAGAAUGUGUGUGUAGGGGGGGGGAAACCAAUGGGUGGAGGAGUCCAUGGGAGUUGGGGGGGUUGUUAGUCUACCCACAGCCCCCACACAAAGAAGUGUCUGGCCGUCUGCUUCUGAAAGAUUCGUUGUCUUGGAGGUGAGUAGGGUAUAUACAGCCUGUGGGAUGGAGAGGAGGGAGCCAUGUAGCAAAGGCGCCUGUGUCCCCAGCUGCUCCACCUCUUCUGAUGUGAGAUGCCUCAUCCUAGGGAACCUUUGAUCUGGCGGGAAGGAGUGACCCAUGAUUCGGGGGACGGGGAGCUAUCACAAUGGCUCAAGAACCCAGUUUUGUCCAUGGAGGCAGAAGUAAUAAGGAGACUUCCACGACAGGAAAAGAAAAUCACGAUGCUGUGAGGAGAACACUGUGCCAGCGCCAUGCUUGACUUCAUAGCUGGGUGACGAAGGCGCCACCGUUCCAGAAGGCAGGGAACGAGAUUUGUCCUCAGGGAUCCCCAAGCAGAAUCCCUCUACCAGUCACUGCUUGGGCAGAGGCAGACUCACAUUCUCUUCCCAGCUGCAGCCCAACCUUGCAUAAGCCUCUGCACCCUCGGGCCCAGUUGGCUCUAAUUGCCGCCUCCUCGAUCCUGGGUUGACAAAGGAGACCUAGAAGAAGAGUGAAGAAGCGACACCACUGAAGGUGCACUGACCUCUGGCCUUUUAUCCCAACACGGAAGCCAGCCUUUCUUCAGGUGCAGCUCUCCUGCCUCACCAGCACCCAGAGCCCAGUCAAGCCCAUAACAUGCUUUACAAACAUCUUUAAGUUCAGUGACACCUGUGGAAACACGGCAUCCUCAUCCCUCCCCUGCCUCUGGCCUGUGAGGCAUGCAGGGGCAAGCGUUUCCUGCAUUCUCUUCAGAAGGAACUGGGAAGGGGGCAGGGCAGGAGGGGGGAAAAGGGGAGCCCCUUGCAGACUCACUGGGACAGUUCCCUAGGAAAGAACAGCAGGGUUUCUCUUACUCCCGCUCUUUGCUCUCUCUCUCUGGAGCCCAGGAAGCAAGAAGCGUAGGAACACCUGCUCCCUGAUUUAACCCCUCUGUCCAUGGGGCAUCUGCCACAUCUGCAGAGUGGUACCACUCUGCAUUUUAUCUCCUUCUCUUGAGCCCUUGAGGAUAGACUUGGAAACUCUUAGCUCAUCCAAAUGUUUUCUCACAGAGGGCAUCGCCCGUAGGUAGGUUCCAAAAGUUCCAUCCAGAGACCCACUGUGAGAGUCUUCCUCAUGUCUCCUCCUCUUUCCUUAAAAACCCUGGGGUCACCGGGCCGUUGGUGGUGCACGCCUUUAAUCCCGGCCCUCGGGAGACAGAGGCAGGCGGAUCUCUGUGAGUUCGAGGCCAGCCUGGUCUACAAAGCGAGUUCCAGGACAGCCUCCAAAACAAUACAGAGAAACUGUGUCUGGAAAAACCAAAACCAAAACCAAAACCAAACCCUGGGGUCCUAGUCUCCCUUCCUCUGCUUUCUGUCUCUUGUACAAAUGUGUAUACUUACACCUGGAAGAAUAUUUAAGUUGAUAAAAAUUACCAGUAAAAAAUUCCAUUUUUUAA